CCCUCCGGGCCUCUCCCUCCUCCUCCUCUCUGCGGGCGUGAGAGACGCGGGAGAAGAGCUUGACACUCUCCACGCUCGCACAUUUCCCCUGGAGCAGCUCCCCUUGGGACCCCGCGAGAUGCAGGGGAUACAGCGCAAGACGACGAUGCCCACGGACGCUGGUGAUGAUGGAGGAGCAGGAGGAGGGGGGCAUUGAGAAGCGGUUUUGCCCGGGGAGAGUUACUCCCGGCGGACGCGGCUAGGCGCGGAGUUCACUCACCAACUCGCUCUCGACGCGGAGUGCGGGUCACGGCGAGGUGGGGGCUGCCCUGCCCUGCCCGGUGCUUCCCUGCCCUUCCCUUCCCUGCCCUUCCCCUCCCUUCCCUGCCCUCCCCUGCCCCUCCCUUCCCUGCCCUUCCCUUCUACCCCUUGCCCAGCACUCGACUCUGCUCCCGUCCAGGUGGGGGGCCUUUGGGCGCUUGUCUGUGCCUCCAUCGCAUGACGUGCCCAGGGUGAGAGCCCCCCACGGUGGGAGCGAGGUCCUCGCACUCCAAGCUCUAUCGGCAAUCCAGACUCCAAAGUCUCCCGGAUCCAAAAUCCAGGCUCCGGGAUUCCGACUCCCAACACCCGAGGAUCAAUAACUCCAGGUUCCAGGCACCGACGCUUGAGGCUACUAAAGGCCCAGCAACCAAGACUCCAGGCUCCACAAGCCAAUAAUCCUCCAUGCGGCGUGCUCCAGGCCCUGAGGCUCCAAGCUUUGGAAUUGUGGCUCCAAGCUCACCACACUCCAGACUCCUGUCCUAAGACUCCAGAAUCCUGGAGCAUGGACCCCCAGGAUUUCUCCACGCCCGGCUCGGCGCCUCCCCCGCCGCUGAGUGCGGGGGGCCGGGUAUCCUGUCAUCCCGGCCCCGCUGCUGGCCCCCUUCUCAUCUUCUCUACCCCCCACACAAGUACAUGGCGGCCCCCCACCUGCAACAGAAGCCCCUGCCCAGCGCGCACCCCUCAGGGAGCCCUGCCCUGGGGGCACCCACUGCGUUCCUGGGCAGCUUCCUGGGGGGCCCUUUGGGUGCUCCACUGGGGGGAGGCUCAAUGGGGGGCUCGGCCACACCGCCCGCUAUGUCGAGCUCUGCUGA